AUUGAACGCUGGCGGCAUGCUUUACACAUGCAAGUCGAGCGGCAGCGCGGGGGCAACCCUGGCGGCGAGCGGCGGACGGGUGAGUAAUGCAUCGGAACGUAUCCCGUAGUGGGGGACAACCCAGCGAAAGCUGGGCUAAUACCGCAUAUGCUCUACGGAGGAAAGCAGGGGACUCGCAAGAGCCUUGUGCUAUGGGAGCGGCCGAUGUCCGAUUAGCUAGUUGGUGGGUAAAGGCUUACCAAGGCGACGAUCGGUAGCUGGUCUGAGAGGAUGAUCAGCCACACUGGGACUGAGACACGGCCCAGACUCCUACGGGAGGCAGCAGUGGGGAAUUUUGGACAAUGGGGGCAACCCUGAUCCAGCCAUGCCGCGUGCGGGAAGAAGGCC
rnacentral:rRNA from 1 species